AGCGCUUCUGCAGUCCCAGGGCUGACUGCAGCGCGUCCCUGCCGCGCGAGUCCCUUCUCCCACUCGGUCCCCGCACCUCUAGUUCGGGCCCGCGGGGCCGGGUCCAAUUGCUACUUAAAAAUGCUCUGAUGUAAAGGAAAAGAGAUAAAAACAUCCGCAUCUCUGAGCUCAGCGCGGGCUCCCUGUGUCCCCGGCCCAAUACUGUAAGAGCCGCCGUCAAAGCUUUAGCUCUCAGCAGCCGAGGAUUCAGAUUUCUUCCUCUUCUCUCUGACUUGCAGCAGCUCAGCCCCUACCCUCACAGGGAGGAAACGUAAAGUCAGGCUUGAGGCAGGAGUGGGGCUGUAGGAGGCGUCUUAGGCUAGGAGCAUGGAUUUGCCAGCAGAAGGAAGAACUGACCAGCCUGACGGCUGAACGUCCAGUCCUACUCUGUCCAGCCAUACCCAGGAGGGCGGGGACACUGGAGCGGUUUCUUCCUCAAGCACAGGCUGCGAAUUAGGAAUCCUGAAAGGUUGCUGGCUUCGGUGUGAGGGCACGGAGGACACCCUGAGAAGCCCACAGCUGUGAGCAGACAUGGACUUUGUGAUCUACCCUUCGGGGGCUCUGUCUACACCGGGAUGGGACGGGUCACAUAGCCCGAGAGGGCUGCUGGGAGCGGAGCAGCGGCCGCUGAGGGUACACUAAGUCUUCAGCGGCUGAGAGCCCCGCGCUGUGGCUGGGCCUGGACUGGAGGCUGCAGCUGGGCAGGCCUGUCACCCUUCUGACCAGGGUGGACGUGCUUCCUGUUCUUCUCCUUCAGUCCAUCAUUUCAUAGCCGUCGGUGGGGCUGCCCUGCUUUACUCUCUGACGUCAUCGACUGUUCAUCCAGCCCGAAAGCCCCAUGGCUAGUCAUUCUUACCACAUGCACAGCUUGAAAGGCUGCCUUUGUUCUCCGAGCCUCAGGCUUCCCAUGCAGAAAAGGGACAGAGUAAAAUUUGAUGUUGGGUUAGGAUUGUUUUGCCCAUGAAUGUAUGCCACAGAUAAGCUACUUGAACUUUCUAAAGCCACAGGUAUCUUUCUCUGACCUCCAGGAUUGGAGUGCAGCUCCACAUUGGUCCGCCUGAAGUCCACCUGGUCUGGGAAGAGCCGGAAGUCUCACGGUGGCAGAUCCUGUGAAUAUGGAUGAGGACACAGUGGCAUGUUUACAUGAGCUGCCUUUCCUUUGGAAGACACUUGGCAACAUCAUGUACCAUAUUUUUGAUCAUACCUCAUAAAGACAUGCAGGAAGAGAGGACUUCCAGAAGAGAUUUAGAAAGUGGCAGAAGGAUAGGCUAAGGAGGGAGGAGGAUUAUGAGGGGGACUCAUGGGAAAUGUGUCUUUUUCUGUAAUAAUUGAAAACAACUGUAACAUUCAUUGCCUAGUUCAGUCACACCUCAUGUGCUGUUUUCUCCUCCGCACUGACUUUCACAUCCCCAUGCCCACUGUUCCUUCACCUUCAAGGGACUCAGGGGAGGCUCCUGGGCAGGGGAUUUAUACAGGGUCAGGUCUGGGAAUCAUGCAGCAGCAGCAUUUGGUAGGAAUGGUUUAGUCUUGAGCCCUUCAAGAGGAAACUCUGAAAACAAGACGUAAAACGAGACAUUUAUGGAACCAAAGGAAUUAAAAAGUGCACCUCCUACACAUCCAUUCAGGUAAUACUCAUGAGGUCUGGACUGUUGGACUCAUUUUCCUUUGGAGACACCAAAGCUCAGAGUCCAAGUAACUUCCUGAGUUCUACCAGAAAGAGAGGUGAAGUCAGGCUUUGGAACCACAUAGGAUUGACUGCAAUGCCAUGCCUUCCCCUUGGUGGAAGGAAUGAUGAAUAUUAAGAGUGUAAGCCAAGAAAUCAUAAGAUAAAAGCAAAGUGGAAGGAAUAUAGACUUGGGAUUUUCAAACAAGAAGUAGAUCAUGACUUGAUAUUCUUUGGGGUAGAUAAGCAGGGUCAGAGAAAGUUCAGCAUGCAUCAGGGUGUUUGUAAAUUUUGUGAUUGCACUGCUAUAUCCUGGUCAAGAAGCAAAACAAACAAUCUAGUUUCCCCAAGCUUGCAAAGUAUUGCUAGGUCGCAGAAAACUCUCUAACAGGUUCCAUUCCUGCUAUGAUGUCUAUGUGGCAGUUUACCCCCGAUCAAUAAAUUCUGUAAGGACCAGAAAAGGAUUUUGCUCUUUUUGACCAUUCUGCAGGCUUUUGAUUUUUAUGUUGUCAAGACUUCUCGGAGGUUCUCAAAUGCCAGUAGUAAAAUCCUCCCCCAUAACUCUUUCCUAUGUUUUGGUCAAGCCCAUACCCAAGAAGAUGUCUUGCAUUGGGAAUAGAGGAUAUCAUCUCCCCAGAAGACAUAUGUGGAUGGAAAACUUAAGACAAAGAAUUUGCAGACAUUUUCACAAAAGGCCAUCUAGCAAAUAUUUUAGGGCUAUGGCUAUUUUGGAAGUUGUUCCAGUUUCAUUACAAUAAUUGAAAAAUAAGGAAAAGUUCUGAAACAUAGCUGUAAAAUUCAGUUGAAAUGACUUAGGAAAUGUACCAGAAAUUUAACAACAACUUGGAGGAGGCCCUUUGCAUACGUGACAUGGCUUAAAAACUCAAGCUGGGCUUAAAUUUUUCACUCUCCUGCUUACUUUGUGGAGUUGCUUAACCAAUCAGAACUCAAAAUGCUUUCUCAGCAGUAAAAUGGAAAUUAGAAUGCGUGGAUUCCAAUUAGAAUGAAUUAUCAGAGCUAGAGAAUUAAGCAAUGUAAUGCAUAUCAGAUGCUUAGCACUAUACCUGGCAUAAAGAAAGUACAGCACUUAACAUGCUAGUUUUCUGUAUUGAUUUAGUAUUGAUCAAUUUGUCAUUUAUGAAUGUAGUGACUGUAGCCAAUGAUGUAAAAAAAAAUAAUUAAAAACAUGAAUAUAGCAAGUUAAUUAAUAUAAGAGAAAGAAGCCAUGGAUCAGAUAAUUGAAAGACAUUAACAAAUUAACAGGGAUGUUUAGAAAUUUUUAUCAACAGAGGUGAAAUUGUUAAUAAAUGUUUGCUAAUUGAUGGGGAAAAUGAAAGCAUUUUGUCUCUUUUGGGAUCAUAGGGCUUUUACAAUGACACUGUAUCCUAUAACUUGAUGAAGUUAUCUUUAUUUUUUAAAUUAUAAAUAUGAAUACAUUACUUGCACCAAUUAAUGGGCUUCACUAGACCUUUCCAUACAUGGAUGUGUCCUGUAGUAAUUGUAUCCACCCUCCCUACCACCCUUUCUUCUUCGCCCUCCCUUCUUCUGUUUCCUUCUCCUGGCUCCUUUUCUUUUUCUUAGUAGUCUCUGCGCUCCUUUCAGGUUCCCUCCCUGCCUUCCUUCCUUCCUUGCCUCCUUCCUUUGUUCGUUGCUACACAGCACAUAGGAGAAUGGUGCUUGGCUUUCUGAGUCUGGCUGAUUUUGUUUA
ensembl:lncRNA